rnacentral:tRNA from 3 species
AGCCCCGUGGUGGAGGACACAUUGGAUUGCAAAUCCAAAGACGCAGAUUAAUACUCUGCCGGGGCUU